rnacentral:rRNA from 1 species
AGAGGGGUGCGAGCGUUAAUCGGAAUUACUGGGCGUAAAGGGCGCGUAGGGUGGUUUAACAAGUUAUCUGUGAAAUACCCGGGGCUUAACCUGGGCAGGUCAGCUAAUACUGUUAGACUGGAGUACAGGAGAGGGUAGUGAAUUUCCGGUGUAGCGGUGAAAUGCGUAGAGAUCGGAAGGAACAUCAGUGGCGAAGGCGACUACCUGGCCUGAUACUGACACUCAAGUGCGAAAGCGUGGGGAGCGAACAGGAUUAGAUACCCUGGUAGUCCACGCUGUAAACGAUGACAACUAGCUGUUGGGACCUAAACAGGUUUUAGUGGCGUAGCUAACGCGCUAAGUUGUCCGCCUGGGGAGUACGACCGCAAGGUUAA